ACAGGAUGUUUCACGCGUUGCUGUGUCAUCCUUGCACAGGGGCCACCCUAAUUGUCUCUGUAUUAUUCCAUGUGCUGCCCAAGUGAACACAGCGGGCGUGUGACUCAGCCAUUGGUUUUCUAAUUCUUGGCUCCUCUCCAAGUUUUCUUUCUUUUUUUUCUUUCUGUGACCUGCUGCCUGCUGCUUGGUAAUGAAACGGACUGUCCUAUUCAUAUAUGUGCCUGUUCAGAGUCCCGAGCCAGAGGAAGGAGAAAUCAAUGUGAUUCUCUGUAAAAUGGCCUGGCUUGGAUCUUGCCUUCAUCUCUGACUCACCAAUCCCCAGGAGUGAGCAAGGAACGAGGAAAAGAUCCACAAACUGCCUAAUUCAAAUCUGAAUCAGUUAGUGACUCUGAUUUGCUCUACUUUGGGAUCGCUGGGGUGAGACUCAGAGCACUGCCCAGUGCUAGGGCUGGAAGAAGAGAUGGGGUUCAUCAGGUCUGUACCCACCUUGAUUCACAGGAUCCUAGUUCCCCAACCAGGACCACUGCAGUGAAAGCACCAAGUGCUAACCACUGGACAACCAGGGAAUUCCAAAUAAUGGAAGCAUGUAGGAGCUAUGAAGAUGUUAAAAAUGGCCUUGCCCUUUGGAAUAUAGAUGCUACAAGCAGAACACAGAGAUGAAAGUCAAGAUAAUGCCGAGAUCUGGGGGCAAAGAAAGGAAACUGACCCACAGACCUAUGCGUCACUCUAUGACUCAUGGUCCAGUUUGAAGUACUCACAGCCUCUCGGGGUUUCAUCCUCAUUACCAGCUCCCAUGUCCUCUCUCCAUUUUCUCCUUUCCCCUUUCUAUUCUCACUCUCUCUGCUAGAGGCCUUCCUUGUCUGCAGGAAAGCAUGGCAAGGAGAAGAAUCUAUGGUUUAAGGGGAGGAAACACAUUUUGUGCUAGUCUCUCUCCUUUCCAUGAAAGGCUUUUUCACGAUGAUACCAACACUGAGAGUUUCCUAUGUUUGUUACCCUUUCAGGCCCUUGCGACAAUUCCCCAGAUCUCUACAGAUAAAUGAGCUGAUUCACUUCUCCAAAAAUGCUUUGUCCCCACAAAUACUUAUUCAUGGGAAGAGGCUCUGAGUUUAGUCUGUUCCUCCCAGACUAUUUUGUUUAUUGAUUACUUUGUUUAUUGUGCUGAUUCGACAUUAGUAAGCAUUUGGGCCUCGGAUUUAUACUUUAUGCAACUCUGAAAGUCUAAUGAUUGGUACAGAGAACUCGAGGCUCUUGCAAUGUGGGUUCCCAUCACCAUGUUUACCCAAACCUGGACCGGCUGCCUCCCCUUCUCCCUCACCCCAUGUGGGGUGCCCAUGAGAGUGCAAGGAUCAAGGGGCACAGGGCCAAGAGGCUCUCAUCUGCCCAGGACACCCUCCAGGACCUGGUGGGGGCAGCCUGAGGCUGGGCGAGCCAGGCCAGAGGAAGAGGGACAGGGUAGAGGCCUAGGCCUGGUCCUUGAGAAACUAAAAUCUUGUAGGCAGGAGCAUUCAACAAGAAAACCUACACCUGCUACCAGUAAGUAGGUGAGCUCCUUUAAAAAAAAUAGGAGUCUGCAAGUGUGAAAGCAAUGAUUAGUGGAAAGUGGGACAUCAAGAAGGAAACUAUACACACAUACACACACACACACACACACACACACAUAUACACACACACACCAUUCCAAUCCCACAACCCAAAGAUAACUGCUGUAAAUAUUUCUUUAAUGUUGAAUCAUUAUGUUGUAUACCUGAAACGAAUAGAAUGUUGUAUGUCAAGUAUACGUCAA